rnacentral:lncRNA from 1 species
GGAAAAGUGACACUUCUUGUGAUAACCGUGUAUGACUGUCACCCUUUCCAAUCAAUAGGCCACAGUUAUGUGCAAGAACGCAUCCAGGAUUGCAUAUCAACUCCAAGGAGGUGACUGGUGGUCCCCUUUUCUAGACAGGGCACCUGGAUGACCUGGCUUACAGUAGUACUGAAUCUGGAACUCAUCAGACCUGCUGUUUUUCAUGCCCUGCACAGCAACCCAGGGGACUGACUUGCCCAAGGUCCUCCUGUAAAUGGAAUCGCUAGAAGCAGACCCUGAAUCCCUCACCUCUUCAUGGCCAGUCAAGCACUGUAGAUUCAAGCAUGAGGAUCACCAGUGCGAAGCUUUUCGGAUGUCAACAGCAAAAGUGAUUCUGUAGCUGAGCCCUCCAGGUCAAACACCUGCAUAUGCUCUUGGCCUUCAUGUCUGCAUUUCCCUGGAGGAGGGAAACAAGCCUGCCUUCUCCCUUCCAGACUCCAAGGUGAGAGGGAACUCAAGCGAGACCCAGAGAGACGGUAUUCUUUCUACUUCUGCUGAGCAUUCUGAGCAUGUUGUUUAAAGGGUCAAGAACUUGAACUUAGACAGAGAAAACGAAUUAAAAUAUGUGAUUAUGUUAGUCUCAAACUCCUAGUUAGCGCCCCCUGCCCAACCUUUCCCCUUUGGUAACCACAAGUUUGUUUUCUAUGUCAAAGGUCA